GAAGGUAUAGCUCAGUGGUAGAGCACAUGUUUAGCAGGCAUGAGGUCCUGGGUUCAAUCCCCAGUAUUCUCA
rfam:Camelus ferus unplaced genomic scaffold scaffold382, whole genome shotgun sequence.